rnacentral:sRNA from 1 species
GACUUAACGCGCCCCCGCCGGGCACCCGGCCUCAGCAGCCGCCUGUCGCCGCGGGAGCAGCCGCUAUCUCUGUGUGUCCGCGUGUGCGCCCGGUCCCCGCCCGCCGCACCAUGGAGGGCUACCACAAGCCUGACCAGCAGAAGCUGCAGGCCCUGAAGGACACGGCCAACCGCCUGCGCAUCAGCUCCAUCCAGGCCACCACGGCGGCGGGCUCUGGCCACCCCACGUCAUGCUGCAGCGCCGCAGAGAUCAUGGCUGUCCUCUUUUUCCACACCAUGCGCUACAAGUCCCAGGACCCCCGGAACCCGCACAAUGACCGCUUUGUGCUCUCCAAGGUAAGAGCCCAGCUGCCCACUGCCAGCCACACCUUGCCUGGGACUAGGGUCACACAGGCCCUGGAAUGGUGAGUGGUCUUUGAGGAGGCCGGGCUGGGCCCACCUUUCCCAGGUGCUUUCUCCCUGCUCGUCCCGGCCUCUCCCUCAGUGUCCUGCUCUGUGCUGACCCAGCUGGCUAAGGACUACAGGAGUGAAUUGAUGGGUUGCUCUGCCAUGGAACCCAGGUACAU